GUAAUGGCCUACCAAGGCGACGACGGGUAGCCGACCUGAGAGGGUGACCGGCCCACUGGGACUGAGACACGGCCCAGACUCCUACGGGAGGCAGCAGUGGGGAAUAUUGCACAAUGGGCGGAAGCCUGAUGCAGCGACGCCGCGUGAGGGAUGAAGGCCUUCGGGUUGUAAACCUCUUUCAGCAGGGACGAAGCGUGAGUGACGGUACCUGCAGAAGAAGCACCGGCUAACUACGUGCCAGCAGCCGCGGUAAUACGUAGGGUGCGAGCGUUGUCCGGAAUUACUGGGCGUAAAGAGUUCGUAGGCGGUCUGUCGCGUCGUUUGUGAAAACCCGGGGCUCAACUUCGGGCUUGCAGGCGAUACGGGCAGACUUGAGUACUGCAGGGGAGACUGGAAUUCCUGGUGUAGCGGUGAAAUGCGCAGAUAUCAGGAGGAACACCGGUGGCGAAGGCGGGUCUCUGGGCAGUAACUGACGCUGAGGAACGAAAGCGUGGGUAGCGAACAGGAUUAGAUACCCUGGUAGUCCACGCCGUAAACGGUGGGCGCUAGG
rnacentral:rRNA from 1 species